UUUUGUUAUAAAGUAGCGUUUCGAACCCUGAAUUUCUAGUCUACUUUUUCUUAGAGUUUCGUAGUAGGUAAUUUUUUCUGCGAUGAGCAAACUUCGACAGCAUAGUCGUUCGGCAUUCUUUUGCCUCCUCUUCAUACUCCCCACCUUAGUUUUCGGAGAGUGCACCUGUGAAAAAGGAGAAGGGGAUGGGGACCGGAACAAAAGUGAAGCUCUAAAGUACAAAAUUGGGGCGAUUGCAUCCAUCCUAGUCGCCGGUGCAGUCGGUGUUGGUAUCCCAAUUCUUGGGAAGACCAUUCCGGCUUUACAUCCCGAUAGAAACAUAUUCUUCAUCAUCAAGGCCUUUGCAGCCGGGGUCAUAUUGGCUACUGGGUUCAUCCACGUGCUCCCGGAUGCGUUUGAGAGCUUGACGGACCCGGCUCUUAAGGAGAACCCAUGGGGGAAAUUUCCCUUCACUGGGUUUGUGGCCAUGAUGGCUGCCAUUGGGACUUUGAUGGUGGAUUCUUAUGCCACUUCUUAUUACAGCAGGUCUCACUUCAAGAACAAUAUUAAUGCAGACGAAGAGAAGGCCCAAGAGCAUGAGGGUCACGUGCAUGUUCAUACUCAUGCAACUCACGGCCAUGCUCAUGGAGCAGUUGACACUUCGCCCUCAGCAGAACUUCUUAGGCACAGAGUGAUUUCACAGGUAAUUUUCUUUUUGAAUAUUUAUUUUUUUGUGAUUAGUGGUGAUUUUUUUUAAUUAGUUAAUUAAUUUUGAUUUCUGUGGCAGGUUUUGGAGUUGGGGAUUGUUGUGCAUUCUGUGAUUAUAGGAAUUUCGUUAGGUGCAUCUGAAAGUCCUAAAACAAUAAAGCCUCUUGUAGCUGCCUUGUCUUUCCAUCAAUUUUUCGAAGGCAUGGGACUCGGUGGAUGCAUAACUCAGGUAAUUUUUUGCCUAUAACUAUUGAUGCCAAUAUGUUCGUACCCAACUUGGUUAGAGCCAAAAAACUCUGGAUGUUGAUCGGAUAUUAUUUUUUUAAUGUUCUUUGUAGGCGAAAUUCAAGAAUCGAGCUGUUGCAAUCAUGUCCUUGUUCUUCUCUCUUACAACUCCUGUUGGGAUUGGCAUCGGAAUUGGAAUAUCAAAUGUUUAUGACGAAAGCAGCCCGACUGCACUCAUCAUGGAAGGCGUUUUUAACGCGGCAUCAGCCGGUAUCUUAAUCUACAUGUCCCUUGUUGAUCUGCUAGCAGCUGAUUUCAUGAACCCAAAAAUGCAGAGAAAUGGAAGGCUUCAAGCUGGAGCUAACUUAUCUCUUCUUCUCGGCGCUGGUUGCAUGUCUUUGCUGGCCAAAUGGGCUUAAACUAGUUCGUCAAUCAAGGAUAUUGUCCAUAAUUUUUUGUUUGCUUCUCAUUAAGUUUUCUUUCGUCUUUUUUUUCCCUGAAGUUUUGUGUUCUCCUUCUCCAAAUUUGCAUCAAGUUAUUAAUUCAAACAGUGGUUAUUUCGUGUAAGAGAAUUUCUUUGCAACUCAAUGCAAGAGUGGUUAUUUGCUAUACAGUCAAACUUUUAAUCUGAACCGUUAAUCUAGUGGAUCCCUUUGCUAUGCAUGUAUGCAUCAAUGUCAACACCCACCAGUUCUUUUCUAAUUUCUACCUUGAAAUUAUGAUAGGUGGAAAAUGCAAAGCAAGUUUCUUUUACUGUGCAAAAAAUUGGUCCCCUUAUUUCCCAAGUGAAGGUAAGGUCAGCAGAAAUCUUCAAGGAGCGAUUGAAAAUCUACAAAGGAAAAUUUAACUAGUAAAAAGCAGAAACAUAAAUAAAAUAUUUUAAAUACUCUUAAGAGGAAAUGACAUGGAGGAUUGAGAUGGUCAUUUUUGGCUAAACUCAUAAUUCCACUUUCAAAACUCCAAACUUACGAUAAUAAGUGCUGACUCAUAUACAACACCUUUGCUUUUUGAGAAUCUCAGAUUUUUUAAGGGGUCUGAGAAGUGCUUUUAUUUGAUCAUGUGUUUGUUUUGUUGAAGGGUUCUGAGAAGUGCUUUUGUUGGAGCGUAUGUUUGUUUUGUUGAAGGGUUCUGAGAAGUGCUUUUGGGUUGUUAGCUCUUAGGGAUAACAAUUCUAACCAUUAAACCCGAUAACAGUAGAUAACCUUCCGAAUGGAAUAGAUUUAGGUAUGAAAAUUUGGGUAUAGUUUGGGUAUAGGGAAAAACUGUGAAUAUUAUUCGGUUAUGGUUUUGAAUAUGAUUAUAGGGGUUCCUAAUCCGUAUCCAUACCCGAAUCCGACCGAAUAAUAUAUAAUAUAAUUAACAUAUAUAUAUAUAUAUAUACAUUAUUCACUGAAUCCAUUAACUUGAGAAUAAAAAAUUACAUUGUGUGAGUUGCAUUUUGUAAGAAAGUUAAAAAAGUUUUGAUAUUGAUCAAAAUCUAUAAAAUUUAAUAGUAUUUAUGUGAGAUAUCAAAGAUCAACCAACAUUAUCAAUGUUUAGCUUUGUAGAGCUCAUGCAUGUUGUGUUGAUUUCAGAUUUUCGCUAUCAAUCACUCAAUUUUCCACAAAACAUUAUUUUUGAAUUUUCUGGAAGAAUUUAGUGUCUAAUUUGGAAAUCCCAUCCACUAAAAUGUGUAGAUUUCUCAAUAGAUUGAAGGAAAAAGAUGGUAAUUUUGUUUAUCCAUCUCUUCAUGUAUUUUAUUGAAAUUUUUAGUGUCUAAUCAGAAAAACCUAAUAGAAACCUUUUCUUUUUAGCAAAACCCAUCUCCUAAAAUGUCCAGAAUUUUGCAUGACUUGCAGCAAAGAUAUGGUAAUAUUUGAAAGACUCUGAAUUGCUAAUAGAUUCACUUUGUUUGGUAUUUUUAGAAAUUUGAGUCAUUGGAGGAAGAAAUUGGUUGCUUGACUACACCCUGAUAUUUAUUCAAAGCCUAAUUAGUUAUUUACAUUUACAAUUUAUUUCUAUAAAGCUUUCAUGCUUGGAUUUUAAAUAUCUUAGCAAUGACCUGGUGGUGUGGUGUGAUAGUUUACUUGACUAAGUUGAUAACUUUUUAUGACUCGAGAUGUGAAAACCGAUUUUCAGUAUAUUUGAUUAGAGUCAAACUUUGCAGGCAGGUCAUCCCAGAGAGUGUAAUCUACAGUUAUGGAACUAUCCUGUUGGACCUCUUGAGUGGAAAACAUAUUCCUUUAAGCCAUGUACGUUGACUUACAUUCCUUGAACCUUUACGUUAUUCUUCUUUCAAGGAUUGUUUUUAUCUCUUCCCUGUGAAUUUAUUGACAUUUCCUGAUUUUCUACUAUGUUGGUGCAUGAUCUCAAGAUUCCAAAUAUAGGCUCGAAUUAUGUUUUAGGAUCCUACUGCUUUAAUUUUCAUUACCAUUCUAUGAAGCUCCGAUCAUUUUGAAUGUUUUUGGCUUCAUUGUAUAUAAUAUGUAUUUAUGUCCUGCACUUGAUUUAUUAUUUUGACAUGGUUGGUAUUAUUGAUAUCUCAAAUUCAACAAGUAACAAUUGGACUCCAUGAACAAUAUAGGUUCAUUAUGUUUACUCAAAACACUACUUUUAUGUUGAAUAUUUUUGUCUUUUAUGAAUCUUCCUGAGCUCAAAUUGCACUAAACCCGAACUUUUUUAGGAAUAUAAAGUUGGAAAAUAAUUCUCUUUAGUUUACUGCUUUAAAAACAGAAAUAGGUUUCGUGUUAUCCUGAAGUCAUUGGUUUGCCAUUUUUUUGUUUCGUGAUACAUAGUCCCUCUAAUUGUUCAUAUUGGUUGGUUAAGGUGGCAUCUCAUGUUUUAAUGAGCCUCCAAAAAUACACUUUUGUGGUUCCAACCAUGCUUUAUUCUCUCGGAAAGGCAUGUGCCACAUAUUUUGUUCCUUAUUGUAAAUAUGUAUGUAAAUAGUAUUAUCUAUUGUAUAUAUAUUUAGAACUUUCAUCAUGUUCUUUUAUAGUUUUAAAGCCUGCAGUAUUGCGUGGACAAUUUUUUUUAGGAUAUACUAUGUUCAUGGUGUCCCAUUGACACAAGUAACUACCAACUGACACUUUUAUAUGAAUCUCAGUUUCUUUUAACAAUACAAUAUUGAUGUAUCAUUAAGUUGUGGUUUAAAACUAAUCGACCCGACAUUAGAUAUAUCUACAAACCAAAGACAAAAAGUAGAGAACCGAAAUCAAUCAUGCAGAUGCACCAAUUUCCUUCCACUACAACUAUAGUCAUGCCAUAAAUGGUCAUGCCAUAGUGAUUCGAUAAUUCUAGUCAACAUAAUAUUAUUCAUAGCUGUAAAUUUAAUUAAGACAACCCGUAAGAUUUAUAUUGAUUUCCUAAUUCUCAUCAUUACGUCAUUUCCUAUAAACAUUAAUUCAAGAGUAAAUAUCAGUUUACUACCCUCAAGUUUCAUGAUUUUCAACAUUUGGUACAUCAGGUUUUUUUCGUCCCAGAGUCAUACCUAAAGUGUUAAUUUUGGGACAGUCUCAUACAUCCAUUAGUCAAAUUGUUAACUCUGUCGUUAAUUGAUGACGUGGUGCCUAUGUGGACAAUGACUUGGCGCCACAUGUCAUUAAGGGAUCCAUGUGGAAAUUCAAAAUUAAAAAAAAAAAUAAAAUUUGGUCCUCUUCUACCUCCCUCGACAUUUUCUUCCUCCCUUAUCCCUCCAUUCUCUCCCCUGCACCAACCCACCAAACCUUCCUCUCCUCUCCUCUUCGACUCGUCAUACAUCCACCCUUCCCCCUCCAUCUUCAACUCCACCCAUCCACCCUUCCCCCUCCAUCUUCGACUCCACCCAUCCACCCACCCUUUCCCUUCCAUCUUCCCCCUUCAUCUUCGACUCCACCCAUCCAACCCACCAAACCCUAAUCUGCAUUGUGCCCACUCUAGCCGCUCGCCCUUUCUUCCCCCAAAACCGUAAUUUGUAUUUUCUUAAUCCCAAUUUCCUAAUCAUCUCAAAAUUUCCACAUUAAUUCAUCUCUUAAUUUCAAUAAUCUGUAAUAAUCCCCAAAUUUAACUGCAGAUCGUACAACGUCGUUCAAGUCACGAAACCCUCUCGAGAAACCCUUCUUCUUCCUCGACAACUUCACCGUUCAAUUCACCGACGCCCAAGACAGAGACGGGGACCAAUUCGACGUCCUCUUCGACCCCCUUGGCAUCUCGACGGCUUGGAGGAGCCCGUCAUACGAUUUGAUGGGCAAGCUCGAGCAGGUUGAGCGCGAACUCAGGCCGAUGGUGUCGGCGUUGGUGGCUAGCACAAAGGACGAGCAAAGAGGGAGAAAAGAAAGAGGGGUUGGUUGCUGGAUUGGAUGAAAGGGUUCGAGAGAAAGCUAGGAGGGGGCGGUGCCGACGAAGGAGGAAGGAUCGUGGCUUUCUGCUUUCUGUGUUGGGAGAAAAAGAAAAACGUUCAGGGAAAGAGAGAGAGAGAGAGAGAGUCCCUACCCUCUGCAUCUUCUGCAAUCGCGACAAUGGGGUGGUGAAUGAAGGUUUGGGUUGGGAGGGGGGACACGGGUAGACGAGAAGAUCUGGGUGUGGGUGAGAAGGUAGGCACGAGGGGAUUUGGGGAAGACGAUCUAGGUUUUGCUUUUUUAUUUUUUUAUUUUUUUAUUUUGAUUUUUAACUUUUCUUUAAAUAAUUUUUUUUUUUAAUUUUUAAUUUCCAUGUGGAUCCCUUAAUGACACGUGGCGUCCAGUCAUUGUCCACAUAUACGCCACAUCAUCAGUUAAUGGCACAAUUUGACUAACGGAUGUAUGAGACUGUCCCAAAAUUAAUACUUUAGGUAUGACUCUGGGACGAAAAAAAACUUGAUGUACCAAAUGUUGAAAACCACGAAACUUGAGGGUAGUAAACUGAUAUUUACCCUUAAUUCAAUUACGGCAGUCAUAUAGAAAAUUCAUUAUUAGAUAUAUGGAAACUAAACAAAUAUAUGUAUAUAUCAAAGAAAAGACCCACUCACAAAUCAUGUCGUAGAGUCGAACCCGCCUCACGGGUAUCGAAGUUCCUUGCGAUGCAUUUCACCUAGAAACGAUACCAUUUAUGUAAUUCUAUAAUGUACUAACGUAUAAAUGCGUUUUCGUACAAAGUUCGGCUAAUAAAGAAACUAUUUUAAAACGAUCGAAUUUUGGAAAACAAAGGGCGGAUUCGGAUUCGGCAUGUUGAGAAACCAAAGGAGAGACAUCGAGUUCCUCCACGCGCCACCGCAUGCGUCGCCACAAGGUGGCUGCACUAGCAGCCACGCGCCACCAUGCUAUGGUUUCCCAUAUGCCUUUUUCACGAAAUCUACAGUUUUUGUAGAUUGCAGGGUUGGCUUUCAGAGCUCAUUUCGAGCUCGAUUUUCAACCAAAUUCGAUGAUUUAAAAACCAAUGUGAAGCUAGAAAAUGUAAGGAACAAAACUAUACCAAAGUGGGGCCAAAUUAACGUCGGUGUUGGCCUAAACAUGGCUGGUCAGUCACCAGAAAGCUGGGGGAAAAAUCCUCCCAGUGUGUGUUCUUCAUCAAAUCAUCCCCCAAACUCAUUUUAAGGUUAAAACAACAUAAAAGCUUCAAAGUAAGAAGGAUUUAAGGGUCUUGAGGCUCACCAUGGUCGGAGAAAAUGAGUGAACACUGAUAAAAGUCACUGUGCAGUUCCAUUUUUCCACUUAGGUGUUCUGAGCAACUGGGAAUAAGGUUGGUGGUCUUCCGCAAGGUUAAUGGUGAUGAUAUUGGUUUGGUUGUGAGGUUUGUCGAAGUACGGCGAUGUGGUGGUGGUGCUGCUCGGCUCCAUUGUUUUUUACAGAGAGAAGAGAGGGAUAGUUUGAGGGAAAGAGAGAAGAGAGAGAGAAGAGAGAGAUAAGAGAUAAGAUGGAGAGAAAUAAGAGAUGAAAGAGAGAAAUCCAGAAUUUCUAGAGAGAGGGGACACGGGACAGGGUAGGAGUGGAGUGUGGGCCUCAUGUGGCUCACAAAACAAGCCACAAAAUAUCUAUAAACAUGAAAUUACCAAAUCACCCUUCACGUUCGUAUAUCCGUAAAAUCUCCAUCGUGGCUCCAAAUUCAAUUUCGCUUGCGCCCACACAUUUGUAUUGUUGCAUACUACGCAAAUGCGCUAAAAGAAUGAGUCAUACGUCUCUCUAAACGAUGGUCAACGAAAGUCAAAAUCCUUGCCUAUAGGGGCAUUUUCGCCUAUUCCCUUAUUUAAUUAAUAAAAUCGUAAAAUUAGGGACGGGUUGUUACAAUCUACCCACCUUAAAAAAAUUUCAUCCUCAAAAUUUGAAAUAACUUGCCGUGCAUAAAAUACUUAAAGAUAGGAAGAAAAUAUAUAUAAAUAAGAAAUUAAAUUAGAGCGGUUGCAUAAAAGAGAAUGUCAUUCCGUCGUGAUUAGAUUGCAAUGAUUCCUCUUUCAUGCCUCCAAACUCAAACUUUCCUCUACGUGUGCGACAGACAACACGCUACAGAUUGACCUAGGUAUCUAUCUUUUCUUAAUUCUUUAUUUUUCUUCUUUCUAAGGUCAGAAUCAGGCUUUAAUGCCUUAAUCUGAAGAUUUUUGGUAUUGUAAUUAGAUUCAAUUUGGGAAAUUAAAUUAGAAAUUGCGGGUUUUAGUGUUAAAUCGAAUUAAAUCAAAUUUUAGGGUUAGGAAUUAGGAGCAUAUAUUUUCUAAUGUUUCAAAGAACACACUUCACACUCAUUGAUAGAGACGUUAAAGAUUUAGACAGAAACAUGAAAGAUGAUAAUGCUAAUGGUGUCUCCCUGCGUGGUGAAACGUCAAGAUCAAGCUCUUUAACAUUACACUGUAUUGCAUUGUAGACCCACACUAUGAUGAGAAAUUUCUCAUCACAAUCACAGUUUAAUGUUUAAAACAAAGUUUCAUUGCAUAUUUAGCUCUGCAUCUCCAGGUUCCAAGUUCGAUCUUGAUCUUUGUAGAUUUGAUUGGGUUUUACUUUUUCGUUUUCUUGAUUUUUCCAUGGAAAAUAGGAUGAUUAUGAGAAAAUAAGUUAGUUUUCUUGGUUUCACUGGUUUAACUUGUGCUUGGGAAUUGUAUUUGAUAAGUGGUCUAUUUGUGUUUUGGUUGUAAUUCUACACAGAGUAAAUGACCUAAGAGUACAAACUUAAACUCAACAUCCAUUCUUUGUGGUUACAGUAUGAGCAGGUAUUUGUGUUUUGUGUUUUUUUUUUUGUGUUUACCUAUAAACAUUUACCAACCGCAUCCAAGUGUGCAUAUUUUGAAAUGGUAACGGCUAAUGAACUUGAGGAUUUUCUUUUGUAAAAGAACCCUUUAUGCUUCACCAUGUGUUUCAUCAUGUAACUGCUAGCUAUAAGAAGGAACCCGUAAUGAAUUAUUCUUUUGAACUUGUUGAAAUAUAGAAGGGUCUCUUUAAUAAUCACCAGCAUUUAGUUUCUCUAAUCUCUAGUUCUAAGUGGAGCCAAUUUCCGGGGCUAAUUAGUUUCGUGGUAUAUGGUAUAGAAAGAAAAUACUGAUUUCAAAAUUCAAUUGGCUCUUACCAAGAAGAUUUAAAGGUCAUAGUCAAGCUAUUCUUCAUGCCUUUAUGCUCUAAAAUGUGCAGAGAUUUUAUAUUUUUGUAGAAAACAAGUUAGAGAGAGAAGGAGAAAAUGUAGAGAGAGAGAGAGGGAGGGAAUUGUGAUAAAUGGUUUUCAUUACUUGAUAAUGUUAUUACAUUAAAGAGUAUAUAGACCUUGGCUUUGUACAACAAUACCCUUAACUAUAACUAUGACUAAUUACAUAUUAUACCACUACUCAUCUCAACUAACACUUUACUGUUAUAACAAACUAAUAGUUUUUUAUGCUGAGGCAUUUGCCUCAAUACACCCCCCUCAAGUUAAGAUUGGACUCAGCAAGAGUUCCGAUGGGAAGCUUGGAUUUUAAGUAACAAAACCUGUUUUUGGACAGAGACUUAGUGUAAAUAUCAGCCAACUGAUCUUCACUACAAACAAACUGAACUUUGAUAAGCUGUGCAAGAACCAACUCUCGAAUAUAAUGAUAAUUGAUUUCGACAUGUUUAGUUCGGGCAUGAAAAAUAGGAUUUGAAGCAAGAGAGAUAGCUGAGAUAUUGUCACACUAUAAGGUGGGAAUAUUACUGAAAGAGAAGCCAAUGUCAUGAAAUAUUUUGCAUAUCUAGGUAAGCUCAGCAGUUGUGUGUGUCAAGGAUCGAUACUCAGCUUCUAUGGAGGAUCGAGCUACAGUAGCUUGUUUCUUUGCACUCCAGCUGAUUAGGUUUAAACCAAGAAAAACACUAUAACCACUAGUGGAUCUGCAAUCAAACGUGCAACCCGCCCAAUCUGCAUCUGAGUAUCCAGUGAGAUGAAGUUGACUCUUCUUAAACCAAAUGCCUUAAGAAACUGUUCCUUUCAAAUAUCGAAGAACUCUUUUAGCAGCUUGCAUAUGUUGUUCACUUCGAGCAUGCAUGAAUUGGCAAAUUUUAUUCACUGCAAAGGAGAGAUCAGGUCUUGUCCAAGUCAAAUAUUGAAGACCACUAACAAUGGACCUAUAAUCAGUGCGAUUAAACAGAAGAGGACCACUGUGAUCAAGCUUGGUAGAACUGAGACGAGUGCAACAAGGUUUAGAACCUUCCAUAUUGGUCUUUUUGAGGAGAUCAAGGAGAUACUUACUUUGGUGAAGAAAGCUACCCUCAGGUGUUCUUUGAACUUCCAGUCCUAAAAAAUAGUGCAAAGGCCCCAAAUCCUUAAUUGGAAAGACAACACUCAAUUUCUGAAUAAAAGAUUGACAUAGGGUAGUGUUGGGACAUGUAACAAGUAUAUCAUCCACAUAUACCAACACUAUUACCAAGGCAGGUCCUUUGAAAACAAAUAAGGAUGCAUUUAAAGAAGAUUAGACAAAACCAAAUGUGUGUAGAACCUGAAAUAAUUUGUCAAACCAAGCCCUUGGUGCUUGUUUUAGGCCAUAGAGGGACUUUCUCAAUUUACAAACAUGGUGAGGCAUUGAGGGAGUAAUAAAGCAUGCAGGUUGCUCCAUAUACACAUCUUCUUUUAAAUCACAAUGAAGAAAAGCAUUGCUGAUAUCCAAUUGAUUUAAAAACUAAUUGAAUUGAACUGCAAGAGACAGAAGAAAUCUUAUGGUAACUGGUUUAGCUAUAGGACUAAAUGUAUCUUGAUAGUCAAUACCAGCCUAUUGAUGAAAUCCCUUUGCUAUAAGGCGAGCUUUAUAUCUGUCUAUAGUGCCAUCAGGUUUCUUUUUAAUUCGAAAAACCCACUUGCAUCCAACAACAUCCUAAGAAUUCGAGGCAUGGACUAAAUACCAUGUACCAUUAGAUUGCAAUGCAUUGAAUUCUUCUUGCAUUGCAGAUCUCCAAUGAGCAUAUUUAGAUGCCUGCUAGUAUGUAUUAGGAACAUAUUCAAGAUCAAUAGGAAGGGGAUGUUUGGUUGUUGAAUAUGCCUUGAGCUUGUAUAUUCCAGCUUUUGAUAUUGUGACCAUAUGAUGAGUAUUGGCAACACUAACAAUUGGAGUAGAACCAGAUAAACUAGGAGUUGAAUCACUUUGAACAGGAUGGUUAGUAGAAGUAGAUGUAAAGAGACAUUGUGAGAUCCAAUGUGAGAACUGGAUGACAUAUUAAGUGCAGGACCAUCUGGAGUAGCAAAUGUGGGCAAAGAAAAUUGCAAAUCAACUGAUGGUGAGCUAAUAGAAGCAUUGGGAACUGAUGAUAGCUUGGUGUACUUGUGAAAUGGAUAGGUGCCUUCAUCAGAAAGGACAUGUCAAGAUAUAUAAAUCCUGCCAGUAGAAAGUUUUCAACAAAUUAAACGCAUUGAAAGUGAACUCACCCCCUGAAUCUGUACGCAAAGUCUUUAUUUUAUUACCAAGAAAGUUUUCAACAUAAGAUUUGAAUACAACAAAUGUAUGAAAAGCUUCAGAUUUAGCUUUUAAAGGAAAGAACCAACUAUACUUGCUGUAAUCAUCAACGAGUAACAUGUAAUACUGAAAAUCACUAGAGUCAAUUAGCCAGGAUGGAUUCGAUUUAGAAGAGUAGUGAGCACAGAAAGCAACCAACUUUGCUAGUGGUACUUUUCCAAAGAUCUCAGGAUUCAUCCGAUCAAAGCAAUUAAUGACUUCGUGGCUAGUGGAACCACAAAUUUGACAGGAAAAUUUAGAACCUGUGAAAAAUUAAGACUGAAAAUUUCCACAAGAACCUUGAUAAUUUCCAUGAGAAUAAGUGCCUCGAUUGUUGCUUGAAUAGUUGUAAUGAGAAAAAUUCCCUCGAUUUGUCCCUCUGUUGGUAUUAUAAUUGCGAUUGUUGUUAUGACCUCGACUAGAAUUAUGCCUAAAUGAGUUUUGCAGAGGCUGUUGUUGAAUAGAAAAGGCAUGUGGAGGAAUGAGGAUAAGAGGUUCCUGAGAUUGCAUAGAGAAAGCCUAAAAUGGCUCCGUGGCAAUGGAUGACAUAACUUGCUUUCUAUGAGCCAUAAAAAGCUCAUUCGUAAGUAACAGACCAUGAAGUUCAUCCAAAGAAGUGGAUGAGAUGUGAAGCAUAAUAGAGUCAAUAAAGGACUCAAAUUUAUCAAGCAAGCCAUGAAGAAUCGCUGCAAUUAAAUCACGAUCAGGAACUGCAACUCCAGCAGCUGCAAGAGAAUCAGAAAUUUCCUUAAUUUGUUGCAGAUAUUCCGAGAUCGAUCGAGAGCCUUUUUGGACAGUUUGAAGACGAGAGUGUAAUUGAUGAAUGUGAGCUUCAGAUACUCCCCAAAAUCAUUGCUCAAGUUUUGUCCAGAUAUCGCGCGAUGAUGAAACACCAACAGUGAAGGGAAUAAUUUCCUUAAAGAGUGUGGAAUUCAACCAAAUGAGAAGGUUUUGAUCUUUUUCAUACCACAGUUCAAAGGUAGGGUUGAAAGAAUGAUCAGGCAUAAGCGGCGGUGGACAUGAUUCAGUGCCAUCAAUGAUGCCGAUGAGCUUGUACCGACUGAGAAUCAGCAUAAACAAUGCACGCCAUGGAAGAUAGUUUGAUCGGGACCAUACUACCAAUAUUCUGAAUCGUCAAAGAGGUAUAUGAAUUCGAGGCUAAAGAAAGUCCAUAAAUUCCAAAGGAAUUAGGGUUUGGCAAUGUCGGUUCAAUCCGAGAAGACGAAUCCAAGGGCGAUACCAUGGCUGAUAGAGAUCAAAUCAGAAUGCAAAUUACAGAAAAAGUGUACAAAUGAGUUGAGAAUCAAUGAACAUUCAUUGAUUGAUCAGCGGAAGAUGAUCGAUUGCUGUGAGCCAGAACGGCGUGAUACCAUGUAGCCAUGUAGAAACCGAGAACUUCUCGAGCAAGAAACAAGUUAGAGAGAAAAUGAGAAAGUGUAGAGAGAGAAUUGUGAUAAAUGGUUUUCAUUACUUGAUAAUGUUAUUACACUGAAAAGUAUAUAUAGCCCUUGGCUUUGUACAACAAUACCCUUAACUAACUAUGACUAAUUACAUAUUAUACCACUACUCAUCUCAUAACACUUUACUGUUAUAACAAACUAACAGUUUUUGAUGCUGAGGCAUUUGCCUCAAUAUUUUUAUUUGUUAGAUAAACGUACAGAAGGUUCCACUUUGAUUAAUGGAUUAUUUUCUUUGUUAAUGUGAAUAUGUGGUACGCUUAGAUAAACAGUUAGGUAUUUAUUUAUUUUCAUAUGAAUGAGAUGUAAUGUGAAUUAAAAUUUGGAAGCUUUAAUGAAAAUGGCUUCUCAAAACUUUUAAUUAACAAAAAACCAUCUACUAACUUUAUUUAAUAAAAAGGACUUAAACUUUAAUAAAAAUGAUUCAAAUUUUAAUGAAAAUGAUAAAAGUUUUACAUAAUAACAAAAAAAUAAAUAAAUAAAAAACCAACAAAUAGUGAUGCGCGGGAUCACGCUUCACAUCACACACAUACACACUUUCUCACUCAAUAGUUCAACCUUUUUCUCUCUCUUACUCUUUCCCAUGUUCCCAUCAAUUUUUCUCUCCUCUUUCACCUACCCAUUCACAUCAACUUUUUUUUCACCUCUCCCCACUCUUCUCUCUCCUUUCACCUCACUCCAUAAAUAAUUUAUUUUUUAUUUUUAUUUUAUUACUUGUUUAUUUGACUAUUCCUUCAAUUUUUUGAGAAUAAACUAAGUAAUAAUAUUACAAGAUAAAAAAUAAAGAAAAAAUUUAUUAUUCAGUUUUAUGAACACUUAUAUUGUCACUAUUUCUUAAACAGGACAUUGACUACUUCUUAAAUUUGAACACUAUUUCUUAAACUGAACAUUGACUACUUCUUAAACCGAACACUAUUUCCUUAAAAUGACCAUUGACUACUUCUUAAACUAAACACUAACUAUUUCUUAAAUGUAACACUAAUACUAUCACUACUUCUUAAACUGAACACUGACUAUAUCGUAAACUGAACACUAACUAUUUCUUAAACUGAACAUUAGUACUAUUACUAUUUUGUAAACUAAACAGUGACUAUUUCUUAAACUGAACACCUUGUAAACUAAACACUGAUUAUUUCUUAAACUUAACACUAGUACUAUCACUAUUUUGUAAACUAAAUAGACUAUUUAUUAAACCAAAUAAUAGUACUAUCACUAUUUAGUAAACUAAGCACUGGUUAUUUCUUAAACCAAACACUAGUAUUAUCACUAUUUCGUAAACUAGUACUGUCACUAUUUCGUAAACUAAACACUGACUAUUUCUUAAACCAAAAACUAACUAUUUCGUAAAUUAAAUACUGACUAUUUCUUAAAAUCGAACACUAGCACUAUCACUGUUUUUUAAACUAAACACCAACUAUUUUAUAAACUGAACACUAUAAGGUUCAAAAUUUGAAGCUCUCUUCUCAUUAUCAUAUGAAUCACUGGCAAUAAUAUUUAUAUUCUUACAGAGUUAGAAUAAUGAUUUUCACAUUCCUAUUUGUUCUUUAACAUUUCUUCAAAGAAUUUAUUUGACUUUCCUUUAAUUUAUUCAAUACAAAAAUAACAACAAAAAUAUAAAUGAAAGAGAAAAGCUAAUGUGCUUUCAUUGAGGAUCAUAAUCUAAUAUUUUUUUAUUUUUAGGUUUUAGCUGGUUAGGGUUAAAAUUAAUAAAGAAUUCUAUAAUUGGAACAUAGGAUGAUGAUGACAUGCUACCCCACAUGUAAGGCUAAGUGGUAGUCAUGUAUUGAUGUUAGCAAUAUAUUUUUUUAUCUCAAAUUUCUCUCUCUCUAAAUUUUUUUGGGGUUUAUUGAUGUCAGUUUGAAUAGAUUUGGUUGACAUUCUCUUCUCUCUCUCUCUCUGAACAUUUUCCUUCUUGAUGAAAUAUUUAAAAAGUAAUUUGUGUGCUGCAUUUGCACGGUUGGUUUUCUGUUGAAUUGGUAGAUGCUUGCUUUCGCACUGCUCGCGUGCACACGUGCUUUGGGUUGAACAAGUUUUUGUAUUUUUUGUUUAUUAUCUCUUGUCCUUAUCAUUAAAUAAAAGUUAUUAGGUGACUUUAGGUUAAAACUCAAAGUUUUGAAGCCAUUUUCAUUAGUUUUUCUUUAAAAUUUUCUUUUUACAUGGGCUAGUAUUUCUAGUAUCGAUUUGAGAUUUUAAUGUUGAGGAAACUUCUUGUUGUACCCUAUAUCUUUUGACUUACUUUUGCUACAGUUACCGUAUUACUGUGAGAACCCGUAUUUUUAAAAUAUAGAACAAAUGGUAUUUUUUAAACUACUAUGAUAUUGUUUAUUUCUUUUCCAUAUAUAUAUAUAUAUAUAUAUUACAUAUUAGUUUUUGCAUUUUGCUGUCAACUUCUAGUCGAUAGUUUCUUACAAUUAGCAAGGUGUAGUCUUGCAAUUGAUGUCUAUCCCAUUUUGCUUGGAGGUGUUCAACAACUAUAUGGCUUCCUUCAUAGUCCAACACACAACAAUUCAUUUUCUUGACAGCUGUUAUAUUUACAAUGAGGUGUGAGGUUUUGAGGGAUUCCACUGACACCAUCAACUUCCACCAUUGUUGGCAAAGCCACAUGUGUUAAUCCCAAGUCAUCUACCCCAUGCACAACGACACCUUGAAACCCACUUGUCAAGUGGCCAUUCUUCAGUUACAUUUCUAUCCCUACAUAUAAUAUAUUUUACAUUGUAAGGAGCCGGCCCUUUCUAUUGUAAAUAGAGGUUGCAUUUCAUUCUUUUAUUCACGAUUUUAGGAAACACUAGCAAAAAAGCCCAUGAAACCGCGGGUUUGCAACUCUAGUUCCACCUAAUUACAACAAUGUUUAUAAUUUUAUUUCAAUUAUACUCAUGUGUACCAUAUCCCUCUACAAUACCCUGCCACCAAAGGGGGUUCAUGAUUCGUUAUGACGCAUGCUUUAAAUUCAGGAACUUUUAUUCCUUCUUUGUUCUUUAAUUAUUAAAUUUAUAAUCCUUGAGAGAAUGUUUUACAGUGUGCAAGUAGAGCAGCUUUCAUUUGCCAAUUUCUCAUACGAUAAUGCAAGCUUCAUUGCUGAAUUAAAAAAGAGUAGAUAAAAUUGAACCCAAAAGGCAAAAGCCUUCUUUAACAAAUAGAUAUGUGACAGUCGUUUGGGAUAUAGACAUGGGUGUACCUGGAAGAAUAGAGAUGCACUGAGUCGGAGAGAGCAAAGAGAGAUAGCGGAAUUUUGGAGGAAUACUGGACGAUGACGAAUUGCACGGCCAGAGCUGUUGGUGGCGGUGAUUCUGCAGCGAAAGACAGUUAGAAAAAAGUAUUCAAUAAAUCUUACAUAACUAUAAUAAUUCAGUCAUGAGCUUCAGAUCAUUGGCAUUUCAAUUAUAAGGAUUCAUAAUUUCAAAUUUUAAUAUAGAAUUAACUGUUUACAAAAUUAGAGGCAGCUAAUGGCAUAGCGUACCGGCUUCAAGUAUGCUAAAGUUAGACAUAAUCUUCAGUAUGUAGAGGUGUUUUCUUUUCUGAAUUUUUCCUGCAACGGUUCAUAGCUGGUUUCUACAAAUUUUGUAAACGGGAGCUGCUAGUAUGGAUGUGUGUUAAAUUUAUCUCGUAACAAUAGGACGUAUAAGAAAACGAAGUGAAGGUGCAUAUAUAAUCCAUGUUUCCUUUUUUUUUCAUCUGCUCUAUUAGAUAAAUGUGAGUACUAAAUUAGUGCAUUUAAAUUGAAAAGAGUUGACGGAGGCAUAAUUGGAGAAAGAAAAGUCUUUAUAUCAAUAAAAAUUAAAAGAUGCUUCAUAAUUGGACAUAGAAAAUGAGGAAAAUGAUAGGGAUGAAACAAAGAAAGGCCAUUAAAAUUUUGAGAGAGGCAUUCUCAGCACGUAAACAAACAGAGGCAUUCCCAAACAGACAAUACAAUAUACAGUAAAAGGAAAAUAAUAACUGAGGAGGAAAAAUAAAAACCAAAAAAUAAAAAAAAAUUGUAAACCUCAGUAGCAACAUAGAAUGCAUAAGAAUUAAGCAUUUGUUUUCAGGGUUUGAGGGGUUGAGUUUGUUUUCUAAUUUGAAGCAAAAAAUACUUGAAUGAAAUGCCAAAUAAAAACCCCAAAAUCUUACCUGAUCACAUUUAAUGCCAAUAACGAUGAUUAAAAUAUGAUAUUGAGAAGCAUAAUACAAAAAUGAUAUAUGAUAUUUAAAUUGAUUGGCCUAUCUGAUGUUUAUUCAGUUCAAGUAUCAAUUUCAAAUAUCUAAUAGGGUUUCAAAUAUUAGAAAGAGGUAUGUUAUGCAAUCUGCAAUUCAAAUAUCCGAAAUUGGCCUGCUUUUGCAGAAGUGCCCAAAAUUCAGGGGUUACUCAAUUUCAUGUUUGAAAGCCAUUCUGUAAUUGAAAAUCCAAAAUUCAGAUUCCUUUCCAAGGUCUUAACAACACGACAGCUGACCACAAAUCCAAAAAAGCGGUUCAACCCCCCAACUUUGACCAAUUUUCACUUUCAAUUCUGGAAUCACAGAUGUAUUCCCAAAUCAGUGUGAAAACAAUGAAGCAAUGAUUACAAAAGGCCACGCUAAUUUUUUGAUAUCCAAAUGUAAGAUUUAUUAACCAAAUGUAAAAGGAGAUGGUAGAGAUGACCGACAUCUGUAUCAAAGGUUAAAUUUAUUAAUCAAAUUAUUAGUACAAUUCUUGCAUCUUAAUAGGUAUCUAAAUAUCUCCACCUUCAUUUAGUGAAAGUGAUGUUGGUGGUGGUGUUGGAAAGGGGACGAAGAACAAAGAAAAAUCAAAACAGAAAAAUACACCACUAAUUUAUCAAUCAAUACCAACUCUCUCAUGCGAAAAAACCCAAAGUCUCAAAAACUACAGACCCAUAACAGUUUGAUCAAGUAACUAACCGAUUACAACAAUCAGAUGGCCAAAUGGAAAACCCAAAAUCUCUCUACCUCAAAUGCUCAUCUGCAACCACACUCCUUACACUCCCUGUCUCUUUCCCCAACCCAUGCUUCACCAAAUGACACACCUAGACUCUCUUCCCACAGCCAAGGAGCAACCAAAUUGAACUCUAAUAUAAUAAAACUUAAACAAAACUCUAAAUCUACGAAAAACAAAGUCUUUGAUACUUCUAAUAGAGUUUCAUAGUUUUCUUUCGAAGUGAAAAAGACCCGAAUCAACACAAAGUCUCAACCCUCUGCACAGUAACUCACCUGAGUGAGAUUCUAAAACAACAAAAACCCAAGAAAACAUGCUCUUGGUUCUGACUUGCUCACAAAAACACACACACCACUUAUGUAUUAUACUUCCAUAUACCCCCACUACAGUAAAUUCAACAGGCUCAAAUCAAAUCUAGGGUUUGAGAAACCCUAACAAAACAAUUCAAGAACAAAUACUAAGGCCAAAUUUACCUACUUAUACACAAAAUCUCCACUAAUCACAUAUAAAAUUAUUCCUAAAAAAAUUAUAUAACUCAUGCAUGAAAGUAAAAAACACAAAAAUUGGUACCUUUGGCUCACUGCUCUGUUCCCCAAUUAUGUGUUUUAUUCAACCACCAAAACCCUAAAACAAAAAGCAAAGAAAUCAAUGAAAUUCAUGCACCAAUUGAAAUGAAGCUUCAGGCGAAAAUUGAAGUGUUGCAAAUAUUACAAAAGAAGAAUUAUUUAACAGAAAUUUUGAAAAAGUAUAUUAAACCCUAAACCGCUAUUUAGAAAUCAAACAAAAAAUCUUGACUUUCCUAGAAAAUUUCACUUCUUUCUUUGAUUGAUUGAUUAAUCACUUUCACUCACUCCAAUCCUCUAAGAACCCAUAAUUUUUUCAAUCCUUGGAUCCCUAGAAAAUCACCAGAUUAUAAAUUUCUUUGGUAAAUAAUUUUUUAAAAUCUAAAGCGGGGUAAGCAAAUUGCUUACGUUUUGUGUCACAUCCUGGCCCGAGCCCCCACCACAUCCUAGGCUCGACUCAACCAUAGCACAAUAUUAUCCGCUUUAGGCCCCAACCAUGCCCUCACGGUUUUGUUUCUGAGAACUCACGAGCAACUUCCUAGUGGGUCAUCCAUCCUGGAAAUGCUCUCGCUGCAAUCUCGCUUAACUUUGGAGUUCUUACGGAACCCGAAGCUAUUGAGCUCCCAAAAAGCCUCUUGCUAGGAAGAUAUGAGAAUAUAUAUAUAAGGCAUAGAGGAUCCACUCCCCUGGGCAAUGUGGGAUCUAACAAUGUCACAUCUCGGCCCCGGCCCCCACCAUAUCCGAGGCUUGACUCCGCCAUAGCACGAUAUUGUCCGUUUUGGGCCCCAACCACGCCCUAAUAGUUUUGUUUCUGGGAACUCACGAGCAACUUCCCAGUAGGUCACCCAUAUUGGGAAUGCUCUCGAUGCGAUCUUGCUUAACUUCAGAGUUCCUAUGGAACCCGAAGUCAGUGAGCUCCCAAAAUGCCUCGUGCUAGGAAGAGAUGAGAAUAUACAUAUAAGGCAUAGAGGAUCCACUCCCCUGUAUGAUGUGGGAUCUAACAUUUCGUAAAGAGGGUUAUGGAAAAUAUGUGUAUGGACUGGUGGUGCGUUGCGGUUCUCAUGUGUGCUAUGGAGUUAGUUGCCGGAUUUGGGUGAAUUGGUGGAUAAGCAAUUUGUAGAGUUGGUGGUGGUUUUGUUUGAUUGAAAAAUGAGGAAGGCUAUUGAAAAUGGAGCACUGAAGUAGGAAGGAAGAGGUGGAAGAAGAGAAGAAGAAAGAGAGAAACGAAAGAUGCUUCUAGCAUCUUCCCUAGAAAAUCUGAUAGCCACGCACGCGCAACACACAUGACCAAGGGCAAAAUGGCCAAUUCACUGCACAAUCCCACCAAAUUUAGAAAACACUGAAGAAAAUGAGGGGCAAAUUCGUCCGCACACUAUAGGUAAAUAGUAACCCAAAACUAGGUUUUAGUAUAUAUAUAUAUAUAUAUAAUAUGUUGGCUGCUAGGAAGCCAUGCAUGUAUGUCCGUGUAUAUGUGUGUGUACAUAUAUAUAUGUACGUGUGUGUAUAUACAUUAUAUAUGUUAGAGAGAGAGAUUAGAAAAGAAAAUAGAGUAAUAAAGGCAUUAGAAAGUGAUCAAGGAGCUUGCUCAAGUACGUGGAACUUAACUAUUUCAUAGUGAUGUGGAUAAGUACGUGGAGCUUAGCUAUUUUGGUAGUUCUGUGGAUCUUGGUUUUAGCUUUGGAAUCCAAGUAGGGGAAAUAAGGCAAACCUUUACAGAAAUUGAUUUUAUUAAAUUUCGUGAAGUGAUAAUAUUCUUGAUCUUUUUGGUUGAUUAAUGUGAUUGGAUAAUAAUUAGCUAAUUGCUUCAGUUAAGUGUUUACUUGUUCUUGGUUACAGAAUUAUUGCUGGAAUGCUAUUCGUUGAGAAUAUAAUGUGAUACAUGUGAAAGAUAAAAUGACAUUAUUUGUGCAUCAUUCAUGUUGAUGUGGUUGUAAUUUUAGUACUUAGAUUGGAAGUAUGGAAAUGAGGGUAGUUGGAAAGGAUCUUUUGUGUAGUUGAAUCUAUUCAUUGUGAAACCAGUUCCAGGCAAGUCCGAUGUACACAUUAGAAUAGGAUCAAUGGGAAUUGUCGAUGUGGGUGAUUUGGGCUGGAGAUCAAUGCAUUAGAUAAGAUGAUUAGCAAAAGGGGUUUACGAACUUGGGAUAUCAUAUGGGGGUUAGUUUCUAUAAUAGAACAUUUGAAUCACCUCUGCAGGGGUAAAAUGAAUGGUGUGGGACGUGCAUGUUUAUGAACAAGGGUAGCCGAAGAGGUUGCAUUGCAUUCAUGCAUUAUUAUCAAUAAUGAUUUGAUAUUUGGCUAUAUGAUUUCAUGACACUUAAUUUAAUAUUAUCAAUUACUGUGAUAAGGUUAUGUCUCUAUUGAGCUGUUGAAACUCACCUCUCUAUUGUUAUGCAGGUUUAAAAACUAAACAGUUAAAAAGGAUAAACGGGAUGAGAUCGGAUUAAGUGUGAGGAUAGAAUUUUGUAUUUAUUUAAUUUUGUCUUGUAAAGAAUUAUCGAUUUCUGGUUAUAAGAGGAAUUUCAUAUUUUCCACCCAGUUUCACUUUCCUUUUAUUUAAUUUUAUUUUUAGCUUGCGCGUCGGAUUCGGGUUCGAAAUUUUUCCUAUUGACCUCGGGUCUGUGGCGUGACAAUUACAUACUAGUAUUAUAAUAUUUUUGGGACAGUUAGGGGUUACACUUUUCGAAAAGGUUUUACAAAAAAUUAUUUUCAGGCCCACUCACCCUUAUUUUUCACGCCCUUCCCCAAUGAUUUAGUGGCAGAGGUUUUGUGACAACAAGGAUGGUUGGUAAAAGUUGUUAUAUAGGAGACUUCUCCCUUCGGUAUAAAUGUCCUUACUUUUCUUUUACUGCAAUUUAUCUAUGCUCUGACAUCACUUGUGUGAUAUAAGUUCGAUUUCGCUCACAUGCGCACUCUAAAUUAGUCACUUUUAGGUUUUAAUUUAUUCACAUUUUCCAUAUCACUACACUUGAUGGCUUUGUUACCUUUCAGGUGUUGGACAACACAUUGCGAUUCGGGUGUCUAGGUGGACAUUUCGGGUUGGGAUGUGUCAAUAAUCUUUUUGACAAACUUCGUUAAAAUUUUCGUCCAAAAUAAAGAGUUUAAAGGAAAAAAAAAUGAAUGAGAGUUGAUUGAAUGCUAACAGGGCCGAAAUAUAAUCAGUACAAAUUAUGUCGAUUAGGGCACUUCCAGUGUGUAAAGGCACCCCUUGGCAAUUGACAAUUAAAUCCCCUCAAGUGAAUAGUAACUCCCUUCAAUGAAUAGUAAUUACCUUUUGCAUCUCCAUUCCUAAAUUGAAUAGCUAUGACAAUAGACAGUAAAAUAUCAGUAUUUUUUAUUUUAUAAAAUAAUAAAAAAUAAUUUUAUUUUUAAUUUCAGAUAUGAUUUUUAACCGAUCUCGUCUGGUCACGUGUCAUUAUCUAAAAAUACAAUUUUUGUCAGUAAAUUUCGAUAAGAUUUUUAACUAAUUAUGUUGCGCAAUAUGUCCUUCCAUGUUCUGAAUCGUUGAAAAUAUUGAAAUGUGGUGUAAGGUGAGAGAAAAUGGUAAGGUAUUUAAAGAAUUUUUUUUUAUAAUGUGGCUGACAUCAGCCUUGCAUCACUCUCCCUUAGACGCUUGGGCCUUGGACUUGCGCCUGAGCUCUCCCACCUCAACCUAAUUGCUCGAAUGAGCUAACGCCACUUUGACAUGGGAUUGAAUUGCAAAUGGAGCCAGUACACAUGACAAAAGAGUACGUUGAAAGUGCUCUUAGAUCAUCUCUAAAUUUUUAUAAAUUGGAAUAGGAUUUUCUCCCUUCUAUUUUUCUCUCCCCUUCCCUCCACUCCUAUUUGAACGGUUACGGUUAAGUUAUGUCAAUAUUUUAUAUUAAUUUUUUUAUAAAAAGAGAAAGACAAAAUAAAGAAUGUGAAAGGAAUGGAUAGAAUAGAAAGAAGAAGAGAGAGAAUUCUACUCCUUAUAAAUUACGAGGAAUAGGUUUGAUUCCACUGGUCCCAAUCAGGUUGACUUCGUUGGCAGGAAGUUGUUAGCCAGUCAUGUCGCAUGAUACUUCCAAAAGAAACUCACAUGCAUAGCUUGGUACUUUCCUUCGGCCUUCAUCUCAAAUGGAGGACAUGGUCCCCUUCAGAUUCAUUGGUCCUAAUCUACUAAAUUUCAUGAUCUGAAUCAUUAAAAGUUAAUUCAACGGCUAUAAAAAUAGGUUUAUUUUAAAAGUUAUAAUAACUUUAACCAUUUGAUCAAAUUUCAAUAGUCCAGAUCACGAGAUUUGAUGGAUUAGGACUAGCGAAUCCGAAGGAGAUGCAUGUCUUCCAUUUGAGAUGAAGGCCGAAGGCAAGUACCAAGCUAUGCAUGUGAGUUUCUAUUGGAAGUAUCAUGCAACUUGACUGACCUGUAGAUCAUAUGGUACAAGAAAAUAGUAGUCACUCACAGUUUAGUUCUAAUCUCACCAACCCUGACGUAGCUGCUCAUGAACCUGCAAAACUCACUCUCUGUCUCUCUCACAACACCGUCUCCUCCAUCUUUCCUUCUCCCAAUUGAUUUAUUUUUUUUUUUGUUAAAUAUUUUUUAUUUAAUUGUGUGAUUAGUUAAUUUUGAUUGUUGUAGGUUGUGAUUGGAUUGGAAGAAAAUACUACCUAUUUGGCAGAAGCAAAAAAAAAUUGGAUACCACAACUCAAAAAUGGCAACAAAAAAAAUAUUAUUAGGUAAUGAGAAAAAAAUUUCAACCUAUAGGUGGACAGCAGCUGGUCUAAGAUUAACAAAGUUGUAACAUUCACCUAAUAAACAUGAGAGAGUAAAAUAGACAUAAAAAGAAAUUAAAAACUGUGCCAUAAUAAAUAUAGCGCUAACAAUGGGAAAUUUGCAAUAUAGUCAAAAAAGUUUAUCCGGAAGAUGCAAACAAAAUUUGAUUUUCUAUAAAUUCCUUCUCGCUUAAAAAAAAAAAAGUCUAUAUGAACAUAAUUUUUUACCAAUCUAAGUUCAAAUAAUUGAGACCCUCCCAUAUAAUUAUCAGCGGCAACAAUUAAUUGAAUUAAUUAAGAGUUUGUGCAGGCCUCUACGUUGACCAUUUUGGACGGGGACAUUAUGUCUACUAAUUAAUAAAAUAUUCAUUGUGAACCAAAAUUUUAUGAAAUUAUCAGUUUAACCCUUUAAUUAAAAUAGAACAUGAAUCAGAAAUAUGGGUAGAAAUAUAAUUUCAUAUAACCAAAUUCUGUUUGUUUUUUUCAAAGGCUCACAUACAUAUAAUCAUAACAUAUUUCUAAUUAAAAAAAUAAAAAAAUAAAAGAAAAACUUCCCACUUCCACAUUCUCUAUCACUCUCCUUCUAUUUAAAAAACAAAAAUAAAAAAUUUUCUCACACACUUUGUAUGUGCCCAUAUGCUAGUUGAAUUAAAUAGAAGAAUCACAUUAUUUCGUCAUUUUUUUUGACAAAUUUAUCAAUUCAAAAGUUGAUUCUGUGUGAAACCUCUUGCUACCCCCCUGUUCUUCUACAUAUUAUGUCUACUGUUUCGACACUUUGAAAUUAAAACAUCGGAUUUUCCUAACAGCUUAAUACACUUGUUUUUUAAUGACAGUUUAAGUCAGUCUCAUAGUUGCCUUCCUAAACAAAACCUCCAUAGAAUGUCCUCAUUUUUUCUUCACCAUUAACCGUAAAAUUUUCGUAUGCAUCAAUACUACAUGGUUGAUCGGCUAUAAGGUUAUAUAGGUUGAUUAGUUCAUAAUCUCAUUAUUUUGUUAAUUCUUUUUUGAGUUAAUUUCAGUUUAUUACUUUAAAGUUUUUUUAUUUUCAACAUUUAGUAUAUGAAGUUUUUAUCAUCUCAAAGUGGUAUCCGAAAUUAUAAUAUUGGGAUAGUCUCAUACAUCCGUUAACGUUACUGUUAAGUGAACCGUUAAGUGUGAUGUGAUGCUUAUGUGAAUAAUGACCGAGUUCCAUGUGUUAAUAUAAUCAACAUAAAUAUUUAAAAAAUUAAGAAAAUAAAAAAUAAAAAAUAAAACAAAAUUUCUUGUUUUACCCUUCGAUCUCCACCAUCAGGACCUCAGCAUGGAUUUUGGACAGGAUGAGCUUUACGAUGGCUAGGUCGCAAGAGCCUUCUUCGGCGCGACGAUGUUGGCGGGGAAUGAGCCGAAAACGGUGGCUGGGGUGGGAGGUGAUGGAGAUGAUGGACCAUGAAGCGCCUCUCAGAUCUAAAACCGCUCAGCAGCAGAGGCUUGCUGCUGCUUCUCAGCUCAUGGCAGCGUCAGUGAAUUCCUUCCCUUACUCCUCCAAGUGCAUGAACUUCGUACUUCAGCAGCAACAAACUGAUUCGCAAAGGUACAUGAUUUACUGAAGUUCUUAUUUUUUUGGAAAUUAAUUAAAGCUCUUAUCUUUAAUCAUUUGUGUUGAAUAAUUAUUAAGUUGAACAUUUUUGUUCUCUGUAUUUGUAGGGCAGCGGCAGCUGCCUUGAUGAUGGGUGAUGAUAUGCACAAGUUCAGCCGAUCCCGCCUCGAAAGAUCCGAUUUUUCGAUGGAGGGGAAGGGGGAGCGGGAGGAGAAGGGGAAGGGUUUGGCUCGGAAAAAUGGGGAAAAUUGGAACUGGAAAAUGGGUACUUUGAGGGUGUUGGGUUCGAAGGAGGGGAAGGUAGGGAUGGAGAUGGUGGUUGAAUUGUCGGCGGCGAAGAAGAUUCCUGCGGCAGAAAUGGCCGAUCUGGGCGAAGAAGAAGAUGACGACGUGGGUUGAUUCGAAUUGGGAAAGUGGGUUUUGGUCUGAAUGUUGAAAACAGGGGUGAAGUAGGUAAUGAGGGAGAAGAUGUCGAGCAGCUUAAGCCACUGGUGCAUCUGCUCGGUUCCUUCGCGGAUGGAGUUGUAGACAUCUAGGGCUUUGACGCUGCGCCCGAAGUAGUCGGAGAUGUAGCGGUCAACGGUGGGUUUGGAGAUGUGGGUUUUGGUGGAGGAGAGGAUGAGAGUUUUAACCUCCUGGUGUAUGAGGAGGAAGGAGUCGAGGAGGUCGUGGGACGAGGAGAGGUGGAGGAAGCAAUCGGCCAUGGCUUUGGAAAGAAGAAAAUCUGUUUUAAUUUUUAAUUUUUUUAGUUUUUUAAUUUUAUUAAUAUUUUUAAUUUUUAAUCUUCAUGUCGCCCAUAUUAACGGUCAUUAUCUACGUGAGCUCCACAUCACCAUUUAACAGCAAUUUUAACAAAUGUAUGAAAUUAUUCUAAAAUUACAAGUAUUACUCUGAGAUGAAAAAAUUUCUUGUAUUAAAUAUUAAAAACUAAAAACUUUUAGGACAGUAAACUGAAAUUAACCAUUAUUGUUUUGUUAAACCUAAUUCUUUCCCUUGAAGUCAACAAGUCAACAAUCCCAAAUCCUCCAAGUCCAUCUCGAUUAUGGAGCCGUAUCAACCACACCAAAGACCUUUAGAAUCCUAUAUAAAGUGCUACCAGCUUCAAACCUUCUCUCUCUCAUACCUCUCUCGAUUUUCCUUCAUUCACUUACGACUGCUUUUGAUUGAAGUAAGAUCCUCCACUCAUCUGUUUUGUGCUUUUAAACUUUCGUCCAACUAUUUUUUUUUUGUUAUAUGAAGUAGCGUUUCGAACCCUGAAUUUGCCGUCUACUUUUUCUUGCGUUUCGUAGUACGUGGUUUUUCUGCGAUGAGCAAACUUCGACAGCAUGGUCCUUUUGCAUUCUUUUGCCUCCUCUUCAUACUCCCCACCUUAGUUUUCGGAGACUGCACCUGUGAAAAAGAAGAAGAAGAUGGGGACCGGAACAGAACCGAAGCUCUAAAGUACAAAAUCGGGGCGAUUGCAUCCAUCCUAAUCGCCGGUGCACUCGGUGUUGGUAUUCCAAUUCUUGGGAAGACCAUUCCGGCUUUACAUCCCGAUAGGAACAUAUU
rnacentral:lncRNA from 1 species